rnacentral:lncRNA from 1 species
AAACUCCAUCUCAAAAAAAAAAAAAAGAAAGAAAGAAAGAAGAAAUUCUUCAUGAUGGUGGGGUAGGCAGAGAUCAUAGAAAGAACUUACUAUAAAAGGAGGAAAAAGACAGCAUUAAAAAGAUAAAUAGGUAAGUCAUACACUAGGAGAAGGUUUUGUAAUACAUACUUUUGACAAAAGAUUUCUAUCUGGAACAUAUAAAGAAAUCUAAUAACUCAAUAGUAAGACCCCAACCAAAAUAAAAUAUGGGCAAAAAAAAUUUAACAAAUACCUCAAAAAGAAGAUAUACAAACAUCCAAUAAACACACAUGAAAAGUUGUUCAACAUUAUUAGCCAUUAGGGAAAUGUAAAUUAAAAUCACAAUGAGAUAACAUCACACACUCACUAGAAUGGCUAAACUUUAGGAGAAUCGGUAAUAACGUGUUGGUGACGAUGUGGAACAACUGGAACUCUUAUAUAUUGCUGGCAGGAGUGUGAACUGGAACAGUCACUUGGAAAAAAGUUUGGUGGUGUCUUAUAAAGUUAAACAUAUACUUACCAAUGCCCAGCAAUCUCCAUUAUAGGUAUGGUUGGGAUGUGAUUUGUCUGUGUCAAAACUCAUGUUGAAGUUUGCUUGCCAGUUCUGUCCACUGGGGAGGUAAGGCCUAGUGGGAGGUGCUUGGAUCAUAGGGGUGAAUCCCUUAUGAAAAUAGGUUGGUGCUGUUGUCCUAGUAGAGUGUUUUCUUGUUGUUGUUGUUGUUCUCAAGAGACUGGAUCAAUUCUCAAGGAAUGUAUUAGUUCCUGAGCAAGGGGUUGUAAUAAAGUGAAGUUUCUCCUCCUGUUUGAUCUCUCUUUGCAUACGUCUGCUUCCCCUUUAACCUUUUCUGCCAUGUUUUGACCCAGGACAAAAGCCCUCACCAGAAGCCGAGUGGAUGCCACUGCCACUUGAACUUCCCAGUCUGCAGAACUGUGAGCUACACCUUUUUAUAAAUGACCCAUCUCAAGUAUUCUGUUACAACACCACCAAAUGGACUAAGACAAGUAUUUAUCCAAAGGAAAUAAAAAUGUAUGUCUGCACAAAGAUUAGUACAUGAAAAAUGUCAGAGCAGCUGUAUUCAUAAUAACCAAAAACUGGAAAUAUCCCAAGUAUCCAUCAACAGGUGAACAGAUAAAUUGUGGUAUAUUCAUACAAUGGCUUACUACUCAGUAAUAAAAAGGAACAAAGUAGUGGUAAGUGCUACAACAUGAAUACAACUCGAAAACUUUAUACUGAAAGAUGCCAGAUAGAAGCAUACAUAGCAUAUUAUUACAUUUAAAUGAAGUUCUAGAACAAACAAAACUAUUUUGAUUGGCUGGCCUUGAAAAGGUGACAUUUGAGCAAGAUCUGGAUGUCAAGAGGGAGCCAGCUAUGGCAAGAUCGAUGGGGAGCAUUCCAGGCAAACAGCACUACAGGAACAGGAUCAGGAAAGAGCUUGUUGAGCUUGGAAACAGUCAGCAGGCCACAGUGACUGCGUGAAGUAGGUGGGGCAGAGAAUGGUGGGGGACAGGGUGGAGAGGUGGAUGGGAGCCAGAUCAUGCCAAGCCUUAUCAGCCCUGAUAAAGUUGUGGAAUUUGAUAUGAAUAAAAUGCAAAUCCCUCAUAGUUUUGUGGGGCGGAAACACAUAAGCAAAUAAAGGCAAUUCAGGGUCAUGGGUGAUAUAUUUGGGGAGUGUACAGGGAAAGAGGAGUAGUAGGCAUUAGGGACAUCUGAGAAGGCUUCCCAGAGGAGGUGACAUUUCGGCUGAGACUGGAAGAGUAGUAGAAGAGGGGAAAGGUCAUUCUGGUGGAGGGUACUGUGCCUACAGAAGCUCAGAGACAUGUAGCCUCAGGGAACAUUCAGAGACCUCAGCAUAAUAUAAGCCUAGUUGGAGUGUUCCCAACUAGGAGAGGGAGUGGCAGGAGAUCUGAGGCUGAAGAGAGUGGCUUUGAAUGCUUUGUCAGACUUGAUCCUGCAGGGAAUGGGAAACCCCUGCAGAAUUUAUAGUCAGGAAGUAUCAGGGCCAGGUUGACACUUCAGAUCAAGAUCUCCAGAUUGGCAGGCAGAGAGCAAGGCCACUGGUUCUAGUGUGAGAUAAUGGGGGACUGGGCCUGGGACUGAGCAGGGGUGGGCGGGGCAGGGAGUAGAGCCAAACUCUGCUAAGCAGUGACUAGGACUCUCCCGAUUGAGGCAAAGCUCUCCAGAUCUUGAGGCCCCAGAGGGCCAUAAAUACUUUCAUGCGCAUCUGUUCUCUUGGAGGGCUUGUCACACCUGAAGGCUCCUAGGCCCUGGCUCCCAGGGAUUCAGAAGUGAUAGGUCUAGGAUGAAGCCCAGGAAUCUGCAUACAUAAAAAGUGACACUCUCCACUCUGAUGCGGGUGGACUCCAUACCUUCCAGGCUGGGGAGGGGAGGGGGCAGGACAAGCACACUCUCAUCUGGACUGUGGCUGAAGCAGCUCAGAGAAUCGAAGGUAGCAUCUAAAAUAAGGACCUGGAUGCACUGGGAACAAAGGUAGUGUGUGUCUCCACUGCUGCAGCUAAAGAAUUGCAGUGGAGUGGCCCUGGUCAUCAUGCAGAAAAAUGACUCCUGAUCACCAGUCCAAGGAGCCACAGAAAUAAGAGAUGGGGCCAUGAUCGGACCAUAGAUCUGUCUUUUAACCUGUACCUUCUCCUAGGGUGCAGACAGGGAGGCAGGAAGGGGAUUACUGGAGGCUGCAGUAAACUAGAGAACAAGCUCUGUGCAAAGGAAGCCUCUCUUACCAUUCAGCAUCUCAAUGAAUUAACCCUCACAACAGCUCUAUGUGGUUGGUCCUAUUAUUAUUCCCAUUUCUUAGAUGGGGAAACUGAGACUCAAAAAGGUGGAGUAAGUAGUGCUGGGUCCCAAGGUGAGGACAUAGGGGAACCAUGGCUGGAACACAGGCCUCUGGACACUCCGAAUCAUAGCAUUGCCCUGUGUCCCCUUCAGUGGGAAAAGUCACUUCAUCUCUUAAUCUUAAAUGAUCUUCCAAGCAAGAGGAGGGGAGAGGAGGAGUAUAAGCUUUCUUUGUCCCAUCUUUUUCAGAAGGUAUCUAAGUCCUUCCUGUGUGUGUCUUCCAAAGAUACAGUACCAGGACCUAGAGAGGCUGAGAUUUAGAGCCUCAUGGUGCAAACUCAAUUGUAGGGUCCUAGCCAGGACUACUUGCCUGUAUCUUCUAAGAAUCUCACAACAGUGCCACAUGCCUCAGCUUUAUCCAAGCAACAGAAGGAGGUGGUGGAGGUGGUGAUGGCAGCAGCAGCAGCAGCAGCAGCAGUGGCAGCAAAUCUGUCCCCAGUGCACUACAGUACUGUUUUGCUAUGAUGAAAUACACAUGGCAUAUGGCUACAAAGUUACUAUCUUGAGAGUGGAUAGAAAUGGGAUUUUUCAUGUGCCAGAUUUCACUUCCCUUUCUGAAACAAUUCUUGUAGUAAACAGAGGUUUUCUGAUCUUGCUAAGAUCAAGAGGAUGGGAAUUCCUUUACACUUUUAAAGUAAGACCACUGUCUUGUAGAGUUUCAGUCUGUUGAUGGUGCAAAUGUUUUUUAAACAUGGACGCUAUUCUGUGUUCCUCCCUCUUUCCUUCCAAAGGCUACGACACAAAGAGGAGCUGCUAACACCAGAUGACCAACUCCUUUCCAGUUACGGACCAUCCCGGUGAUGAGACCUCCAUAUGUUGUCUGAUGGCCGCAGUUCCUUGGUGUCUACAUCUCUUAGGAAGAAGAGAAUAAUGAGAUGAUGUAUGCAGAGCACUGGCAGAAAGCCUAGCAUAGAGGAAUCUGAGGAUUCGCCAUGCAUGCUUCCUGGAAUGGAAACCCACACUGCUGUUGUGAAGACACCUGAUGAAACUCCAGCAACUUCUACAUCUGGCCUGCUGCUUAGUCCUGGGACCUGAGGUCAAAAUCUUAGAAAAGAGCCAUGUGAGAUGCAUUCCCUGGCCUCAUCUCUGUUCUUGGAUGCUGUCAGCAACACUCCUUGAGUUUUUACCCACAUAAUAACACUUUCCUCAGCAUGGAUGUGGAGGUGGGGUGCUCUGCAAAGGGUGGCUCUUACCCUCAGAUGGUCCAGAGGUAGUUUGGGGUGUGCAUGGAUCACCUUCACUCUUCAGAGGCAAACAGACAAUGCUGCUCUUCUCCAACAGCCUCUGAAGGACACCACCUACUGACUGGUUCUGAGAUGUUUGCUGCCCCAGAGUCUCCCACCUGCUUCUUCCUCCCCCUCAGUCCUUUUUUGUAGCCUCUCAGCCUCCCUUCUCUUAAUGCUCUUAGCACCCUUUCCUGGGUCUCUAUUUACCCUGCCCUCCCUUUCAGCAACUCCUUCCCAAACCACUGCAUACUUCUCCUUUCUUUCCAAUCCCUCCUCCCUUCCCAGCACUUUCGCCCUCCAUUGAAUCCCUCAAGCCUCAUUCUGGCCCCACUCCUCCCCUCACCCUCUAUCCCUGCCCUCCUCAGAUCUGCCAAACACCUCAGGCCUGGCUGCCUCUGUCCUGUUCCUACCAACCUUCUGACCAUGCCUCUGUGCUCCUUGGGACCUGGGCUCACAUUUUCAAUCUCUUCUCUCCUAUUAGUACAGCUCUGUCUAGAGCCAUGGUUCUUCUCUACCUUUCACAGCUGUCUUCUUUCCCACUUAUAUGAGUUUCUUUAAGUGUGAAAAUUAAAAAGUGCCACUUAAAUACAAUGAUUAAGUCAUAAUAAACAGUACAAGUUGUACUUAUGUGAGACAUACCACCCAUACACGUUUGAUCUU